CAUCCUUUUUUGCAUCAUUUCAUAUUUUACCUUUGAAUUCUUUGCUUCAGCCACUUAUAAACGUUUUUGUUCAACUCUUCAUAUAAAACUAUCCAGUGUAUCACAUUUAAACCGAGAUCUUCCUGACCGAGGAGUUCAGUUUUGCAGAAGGUCCCUGAGGACAAGCGUCGCUGUGUCUCUGUCCUCUUGACUGAACAAACACACCCGAUCAAGGUCGUGAGCUGUGGGAGCUGUUGGGAAAACAAGCAGAGCCGCAGCCCUUGGGCCAGGAAUUAGCCUCACCUGCUCUGUCCCACUCCAUUCCAAGCAAUUUUCCUCACUUUUCUUUGCUAACAGUGACUUCAAAAACACCUGCUGGGACUGACUAAGAGUUCCAGCAGCCUCUUGGUUGUCGAAUGCUCGUAGACACACAACGUCCCUUGUCUUGGAUCUGUCUCAUAAACACGAGGCUCCUGUUGGCCUUUUGUACGAGACGGGUUUGGACCGCGGAGGCUGAAGUGUCCAUCAGCUGGUGGCCUGGAACCACAGAGGCUGUUUGGAUUACUGGGCUCACCUUCCUGAUGCAGCCUUUGAAGCGUCAGGUUUCAGCAGCAUCCGUCUCAUUCCCGAUGCUUUUAUAAAUAUUCAAUUGCACAGUAGAAAACGUUGCCACUGGCGUGAGCACUUCCAUAGAAACACCUAACUGAAAACAGAGCAGUCUUACAUAAAGGUAAUUAGAUAUGCCAGACAGGAUUUUGAUAUAAAUACGCCCACCCAUCUCGUCUGCGUGACUCAGGGAGCAGAACUGAAACUCAGAAAAUCAUCCAGUUCCAACUUAAUCGCUUUUUUGUUCGCUGAAAUCGAAUUGUAGUGUUUAUACUGAAGUCGAAAUGUGAUAAAUCAAAACAAAAGAACUGUCUCAUCCAGGAAAACUGAUUCCUCCAACAUCAGCUCCAGUAUUUUUACUGUACCUUUGGUGUCUGAGCUUAUUGUGGUCAUGUACACUGUAAAAUGAAUCUGCU
rnacentral:lncRNA from 1 species